rnacentral:hammerhead_ribozyme from 1 species
AUCCAGCUGACGAGCCCCAAAUGGGAUGAAACGCGCGUCCUGGAU